rnacentral:rRNA from 1 species
ACGCUCGACACCUACGGGGGCAGCAGUAGGGAAUCUUCCACAAUGGACGCAAGUCUGAUGGAGCAACGCCGCGUGAGUGAAGAAGGUCUUCGGAUCGUAAAACUCUGUUGUUAGAGAAGAACACGAGUGAGAGUAACUGUUCAUUCGAUGACGGUAUCUAACCAGCAAGUCACGGCUAACUACGUGCCAGCACGCCGGUAGGUUAAUCUGACGGGCGGGCGUGGACGAAGGC